GAGCAUCACACUUCUAUUUAGACUUUAUGGAAAAGGUGAAAUUUCCAGGGAUCUAACGGCGAAGGAUGGGAGAACUGCCUGAUCACUACAACGUUUCAUUGCCAAGGAGCUCACUGGACUUUUGUCACAAUUUAAUGAGAUUUUGUAUCUAAAUUUUCCCACACCAUGCCUGACACCAGGUGGGUGUUAAAUAAACAUUAGGUGUCUUUUUACUACCAUAAAAUAUGUAUGAAACUAACAUUUAUUAAAAAUGUUUUUCUGUCAGAAGUUA